AGUGAACGCUGGCGGCGUGCCUAAUACAUGCAAGUCGAACGGAGUGGCGCACGGGGGAGUAAUAUAUAGCUAAUCUGCCCCUUGCUGGAGGACAACAGUUAGAAAUGACUGCUAAUACUCCAUAGCAAGGGAUGAGACUAUAUCGUAUCAGCUAGUCGGUGGGGUAACGGCCUACCGAGGCUAUGACGCGUAACUGGUCUGAGAGGAUGAUCAGUAACCUUGUAACGGAGGCACGGGUCAAACUCCUUCGGGAGGCAGCAGUAGGGUAUAAUGCGCAAUGGGGGAAACCGUGGCGCGGCAACGCCGCGUGGAGGAUGACACUUUGCGGAGCGUAAACUCCUUUUGUUAGGGAAGCGGUACCUAACGAAUAAGCACCGGCUAACUCCGUGCCAGCCGCCGCGGUAAUAC
rnacentral:rRNA from 1 species